GAAUGUCAUUGAUCAAAGGUCAUCCUUGUGGUGUGCCUCGGUUGGUGCUUCCUAUCUUUCCGUGGGUGGUAACAUCCCGGAAUCAUUUACUUUGAAAAAAUUAGAGUGUUCAAAGCAGGCGUACCUUGCCAUUGAAUAUUACAGCAUGGGAUAAUAGAAUAUGACGUUGGUCUUAUUUUGUUGGUUUCUAAGGCUGAUGUA
rnacentral:rRNA from 1 species